UGGGGAAUUUUGCACAAUGGGGGAAACCCUGAUGCAGCGACGCCGCGUGAUUUAGAAGGCCUUCGGGUUGUAAAAAUCUUUUCUAUGGGAAGAAAAUGACAGUACCAUAGGAAUAAGGACCGGCUAAUUACGUGCCAGCAGCCGCGGUAAUACGUAAGGUCCGAGCGUUGUCCGGAAUCAUUGGGCGUAAAGGGUACGUAGGCGGGUAAGCAAGUUAGAAGUGAAAUCCUAUAGCUCAACUAUAGUAAGCUUUUAAAACUGCUCAUCUUGAGGUAUGGAAGGGAAAGUGGAAUUCCUAGUGUAGCGGUGAAAUGCGCAGAUAUUAGGAGGAAUACCGGUGGCGAAGGCGACUUUCCGGCCAUAACCUGACGCUGAGGUACGAAAGCGUGGGUAGCAAACAGG
rnacentral:rRNA from 1 species